AGUCCUGUAACUCAGUUGGUAGAGUGUCUCUAUUACAAGGAGAAGUUCACAGGUUCAAGUUCUGUCAGGACUA
rnacentral:tRNA from 1 species